rnacentral:rRNA from 1 species
AGCAGCCGCGGUAAUUCCAGCUCCAAUAGCGUAUAUUAAAGUUGUUGCAGUUAAAAAGCUCGUAGUUGAAUUUUAGGCCUGGCCGGGCGGUCCGUCUUUGGCGAGUACUGUCUGCUGUCGGGUCUUCCUUCUGGUGAACUAGCAUGUCCUUGGUUGGGUGUGUUGGGGAGCCAGGACCAUUACCUUGAAAAAAUUAGAGUGUUUAAAGCGGGCUAUUGCUUGAAUAGAUUAGCAUGGAAUAAUAGAAUAGGACGUUGUGGUUCUAUUUUGUUGGUUUCUAGGACCACCGUAAUGAUUAAUAGGGAUAGUUGGGGGCAUUAGUAUUCAAUUGUCAGAGGUGAAAUUCUUGGAUUUAUUGAAGACUAACUACUGCGAAAGCAUUUGCCAAGGAUGUUUUCAUUAAUCAAGAACGAAAGUUAGGGGAUCGAAGACGAUCAGAUACCGUCGUAGUCUUAACCAUAAACUAUGCCGACUAGGAAUCGGGCGACGUUAUUUUAAUGACUCGCUCGGCGCCUUAUG